UCGGUAGGUCAGCUCGGCCGAAGGGGCGGUGAAGGAGGAGCCGAAGAGGAGAUCGGCCAGAUUGUCAGCGAAACCCUCGCCUGCAAAAGUGGAGACGAAGCCAAAAAAGGCACCAGGAAAGGAUAAAUCUUCGGACAAAAAAGUGCAAGCAAAAGGGAAAAGAGGAGCAAAAGGGAAACAGGCGGAAGUAGCCAACCAAGAAGCUAAAGAAGAUUUACCUGCUGAAAAUGGAGAAACGAAAAACGAGGAGAGUCCAGCCUCUGAUGAAGCAGGAGAAAAAGAAGCCAAGUCUGAUUAAUGUUUAUCAUGUCUUAUCAGUGGGCCCUGUUGUCUCCCUUCUUGUACAAUCCAGAGGAAUAUUUUUAUCAACUAUUUUGUAAAUGCAAGUUUUUUAGUAGCUCUAGAAACAUUUUUAAGAA